GACGAACGCUGGCGGCGUGCUUAACACAUGCAAGUCGAACGAAGUGGCGAACGGGUGAGUAAUACGUGGAUAACCUGCCCUCCUUUUUGGGAUAAGCCUUGCAAAAGGGGUCUACUACUGACGUGAGGGGGAUGGGCUCGCGGCCUUUCAGCUUGUUGGUGGGGUGAUGCUCUCCCGAGGUGGUGACGGGUAGCGGGCCUGAGGGGGUGACCGGCCACAUUGGGACUGUGAUACGGCCCAGACUCCUACGGGGGGGGGCAGUGGGGGAUAUGGCAGAAUGGGCGAAAGCCUGAUGCAGCGACGCCGCGUGGGGGAUGAGGGCUUUCAGGUUGUAAACCUCGUUCGCUAGCGAACGGGUAGGUGGAGAAGAAGCGCCGGCUAACUACGUGCCAGCAGCCGCGGUAAUUC
rnacentral:rRNA from 1 species